GACGAACGCUGGCGGCGCGCCUAACACAUGCAAGUCGAACGAGCGAGAGAGAGCUUGCUUUCUCGAGCGAGUGGCGAACGGGUGAGUAACGCGUGAAGAACCUGCCUCAAAGAGGGGGACAACAGUUGGAAACGACUGCUAAUACCGCAUAAGCCCACGACCCGGCAUCGGGUAGAGGGAAAAGGAGCAAUCCGCUUUGAGAUGGCCUCGCGUCCGAUUAGCUAGUUGGUGAGGUAACGGCCCACCAAGGCGACGAUCGGUAGCCGGACUGAGAGGUUGAACGGCCACAUUGGGACUGAGACACGGCCCAGACUCCUACGGGAGGCAGCAGUGGGGAAUAUUGCACAAUGGGGGAAACCCUGAUGCAGCGACGCCGCGUGGAGGAAGAAGGUCUUCGGAUUGUAAACUCCUGUUGUUGAGGAAGAUAAUGACGGUACUCAACAAGGAAGUGACGGCUAACUACGUG
rnacentral:rRNA from 1 species